rnacentral:rRNA from 1 species
GACGAACGCUGGCGGCGUGCUUAACACAUGCAAGUCGAACGGAAAGGCCCUGCUUUUGUGGGGUGCUCGAGUGGCGAACGGGUGAGUAACACGUGAGUAACCUGCCCUUGACUUUGGGAUAACUUCAGGAAACUGGGGCUAAUACCGGAUAGGAGCUCCUGCUGCAUGGUGGGGGUUGGAAAGUUUCGGCGGUUGGGGAUGGACUCGCGGCUUAUCAGCUUGUUGGUGGGGUAGUGGCUUACCAAGGCUUUGACGGGUAGCCGGCCUGAGAGGGUGACCGGCCACAUUGGGACUGAGAUAAGGCCCAGACUCCUACGGGAGGCAGCAGUGGAGAAUAUUGCAAAAUGGGCGGAAGCCUGAUGCAGCAACGCCGCGUGCGGGAUGACGGCCUUCGGGUUGUAAACCGCUUUCGCCUGUGACGAAGCGUGAGUGACGGUAAUGGGUAAAGAAGCACCGGCUAACUACGUG